rnacentral:misc_RNA from 1 species
UCGUAACAAGGUUUCCGUAGGUGAACCUGCGGAAGGAUCAUUACCGAGUGCUGGGCCCUCUGGGUCCAACCUCCCACCCGUGUCUAUUGUACCUUGUUGCUUCGGCGGGCCCGCCGUUUUCGAACGGCCGCCGGGGAGGCCUCGCGCCCCCGGGCCCGCGCCCGCCGAAGACCCCAACAUGAACGCUGUUCUGAAAGUAUGCAGUCUGAGUUUGAUUAUCAUAAUCAGUUAAAACUUUCAACAACGGAUCUCUUGGUUCCGGCAUCGAUGAAGAACGCAGCGAAAUGCGAUAAGUAAUGUGAAUUGCAGAAUUCAGUGAAUCAUCGAGUCUUUGAACGCACAUUGCGCCCCCUGGUAUUCCGGGGGGCAUGCCUGUCCGAGCGUCAUUGCUGCCCUCAAGCACGGCUUGUGUGUUGGGCCCCCGUCCCCGGUUCUCCCCGGGGACGGGCCCGAAAGGCAGCGGCGGCACCGCGUCCGAUCCUCGAGCGUAUGGGGCUUUGUCACCCGCUCUGUAGGCCCGGCCGGCGCCAGCCGACACCCCAACUUUAUUUUUCUAAGGUUGACCUCGGAUCAGGUAGGGAUACCCGCUGAACUUAAGCAUAUCAAUAA